rnacentral:snoRNA from 1 species
AUUGCAAGUGAUGAUAAAAUAGACAGGGACAUCAGCACUUCUUAAUGGAGAAUGUUGACUAUAGUCUUUGGGAAUCUCUCUGAUGCAUA